UACAGAGGUCUCAAGCGUUGUUCGGAUUCAUUGGGCGUAAAGGGUGCGUAGGUGGCGAGGUUAGUCAGGUGUGAAAUCUCGGGGCUCAACCCCGAAACCGCACUUGAUACUGCCUUGCUAGAGUACUGGAGAGGAGAUUGGAAUUUACGGUGUAGCAGUGAAAUGCGUAGAUAUCGCAAGGAAGACCAGUGGCGAAGGCGAAUCUCUGGACAGUUACUGACACUGAGGCACGAAGGCCAGGGGAGCAAACGGG
rnacentral:rRNA from 1 species